ensembl:lncRNA
CCGAGGCGGAGGCCGAUGCCGUGGCCGGGGCGGUUCCCGAUGCAAUGCCCGAUGCCGAGGCGGUGCCCGAUGCCGAGGCGGUGCCCGAUGCGGUGCCCGAGGCGCUGUCCGUUGCGGUGCCCGAGAUGGUUCCCGAGGUCGAGGUACUUCACGUCUCCACAGGCCGUCCAGAACACCUUCACGUCUCCACAGGCCGUCCAGAGCACCUUCACGUCUCCACAGGCCGUCCAGACCACCUUCACGUCUCCACUGGGACACCGGAAGGGCAGGUUCCGCUCUGGUCGCUCAAGUGGCGAGUUCCUCCCUGGCCGUCUGCACAACUAAGAUGGACUGAUCCUCCGUGGCCACCUGAACUGCCGGGUCCCUCGUGGUCCCCUGAACUUUCGGGUCCACCCUGGCCACCUGAACUGCCUGGUCCCUCGUGGUCCCCUGAACUUUCGGGUCCACCCUGGCCACCUGAACUGUCUGGUCCCUCGUGGUCCCCUGAACUUUUGGGUCAACCCUGGCCCCCUGAACUGUCUGAUCCACCUUGGCUGCCGGUGGAGCCAUUACGGCCGGUCCCUGUUCUCCUACACGGGCCUGGCCCGCCAUCCCUCCCCCUGUUCUACCUCCACCAGUCCACCUCCCUCCUGGUCUUUUUGAUUUGUUUUUUUUUGAUCUGGGGAGCAUCUGGAAGCUGCUCCUUAGAGGGGGGGCUAAUGUCACAGUGUCUGUUCUGUGUCUCCCUGGGUGGCCACUAGAGGUCUCACUUCCCCUGAUUGUCACCCCCUUCUGAACUACAUUUCCCACUAGCCUUAUCUGUUCAUCACUGUUCAUUGUGUUCAGCUGUCACCACUUACCUUGUUUGCACCUGUCUAUAAAUACCCUGGUUGUUUCUGUCAUUGUUACGGAGUCCUUGUUGCAUGUCACCCUGCUUUUUCCUGGUUCCCUAGUGGAUGUUCGUGUUUCGUGUUUUGGACUGUUUAUGUUUGGUUUUGACCAUGUUUUGGUUUGAUGCUACAAGUAAACACAUUCCACAUCACUGGUUUGUUUUAUUGGUAUUUAUGACAGCUGAUAUGACUUUUGUUUGUUCAAACUCAAGAUAAAUGGUUUCUCUGCGUAAACAUACAACCCAGAAUAUACAGGUCCGGCACUGAAAAAGAGACCUUUUGCAUGAUGCCAGAUAUAGUGUAAACAGUCAUGCAAUCUGAUUAAAACUUUUAUUUAUUAUUAUAAUAUUUUUGCACAUUAUGCAGUUAACAGUCAGCAAGCACUCUGCAGGCAAUCCAUUGCAUCUAAGAUUCCCGAAAGAAGCCGAAUUAUUAAAACAUAAAAAUUAAAAUCAAAUAAAAAUGGAAAGAGUCUGUGUGUGUGUGUGUGU